UUUUUUUGGACCAAGGACCUCAAAUCAAAAGAUCCUAGGUCUCUAUCACUUAUGGUGUUCCAGUUUAAAAUACAUUUUAAAAUUUCAAAUACAAAAAGGGAAAUAACUCUCAUAUGGAGCGUUCAUAUUGCUUCGGUCGAAAUUGGACAAAUCAUGCGAAGGAUAUAACGAGCAAUUUUAUAAAAUAAAUUUGUCGUAAUCUUUUACGGUUGCGAAGGAGUUGUGGACACAAGGAAAACAGUGUUUGGGGAGAUAACUCCUACAAAGAAAAGUAUUCGGUUACGCAGGGUAAAUUUCAAAAACGCAUAAACUGUUCGAUAUCAUAUACCAAAUAUCUAAGCG
rnacentral:lncRNA from 1 species